CACAGGCCCCGCAGCAGGCGGCCCGGCAUGGCCGUCCCGCGGCGCUGUAACGAGGACAGCGUCGGAGAGGGUUGAUUCAUCUUGUUUCUGUUAAGUUUGGUCCUGUGAGAAAUGACUACUGGCAGAAAAAUGAAGGAUAAAAGUGGAAAUGAGUACAUAACCACAGGAAAGCUGUUAGAGACAGAUGCCUGCAAAAAGCUGUCAUGUUGACCAUCCAA